GGGAGAAUGCUGUCUGUUUCACUGGCUUUUAUAUUCAGCACAACUGAACAUGGCAUUUGAGAGACAGCAAUUGCUCAGGGUGGAACUGGAGAGGAAGAAUCCAGGAAAGCACUGAACAUCUGACCAAAAUUUGAGGAGGGGAAAAGAGCUAGAAGUUUGCAGUUCUGCAAGCACGGAGUUUGGCUGAC
rnacentral:lncRNA from 1 species